AGUGAACGCUGGCGUUAGGCCUAACACAUGCAAGUCGAACGGCAGCACAGUAAGAGCUUGCUCUUACGGGUGGCGAGUGGCGGACGGGUGAGGCAUACAUCGGAAUCUACUUUUUCGUGGGGGAUAACGUAGGGAAACUUACGCUAAUACCGCAUACGACCUACGGGUGAAAGCAGGGGAUCUUCGGACCUUGCGCGAUUGAAUGAGCCGAUGUCGGAUUAGCUAGUUGGCGGGGUAAAGGCCCACCAAGGCGACGAUCCGUAGCUGGUCUGAGAGGAUGAUCAGCCACACUGGAACUGAGACACGGUCCAGACUCCUACGGGAGGCAGCAGUGGGGAAUAUUGGACAAUGGGCGCAAGCCUGAUCCAGCCAUACCGCGUGGGUGAAGAAGGCCUUCGGGUUGUAAAGCCCUUUUGUUGGGAAAGAAAAGCAGCAGGUUAAUACCCCGCUGUUCUGACGGUACCCAAAGAAUAAGCACCGGCUAACUUCGUG
rnacentral:rRNA from 1 species